UAGGGAAUCUUCCGCAAUGGACGCAAGUCUGACGGAGCAACGCCGCGUGAGUGAAGAAGGAUUUCGGUUCGUAAAACUCUGUUGUUAGAGAAGAACAGCGCAUAGAGUAACUGUUAUGCGUGUGACGGUAUCUAACCAGAAAGCCACGGCUAACUACGUGCCAGCAGCCGCGGUAAUACGUAGGUGGCAAGCGUUGUCCGGAUUUAUUGGGCGUAAAGCGAGCGCAGGCGGUCAAUUAAGUCUGAUGUGAAAGCCCCCGGCUCAACCGGGGAGGGUCAUUGGAAACUGGUUGACUUGAGUGCAGGAGAGGAGAGUGGAAUUCCAUGUGUAGCGGUGAAAUGCGGAGAUAUAUGGGGGAACACCAGUGGCGAAGGCGACUCUCUGGUCUGUAACUGACGCUGAGGCUCGAAAGCGUGGGUAGCAAACAGG
rnacentral:rRNA from 1 species